CUUGAUGGAACCGAGCAGCAGGGGCCGGUCGUCGGGCCGCUCCUGCCCAUACGUCGCCAGCAGCGCCUGCGCCUC
rnacentral:antisense_RNA from 1 species